UUUCCUUAAAGACGAACUUGCAAGCCGUGGGAAGGGAACUUUCUACAAAAGUACAAACAGAGUUUAUUAAUACAACCCCAAAAUUUCAAAUUUAAGAGAUUAAGCUCUCGUUUAGCUUACCUAAAAAAGAAAAAAUUUAGCAGAUUUUGAUGAAAGUUCAUGAAAUAUGUGGUUGAAAUGAAUUUGAGAAAAAAUGAGUUUUUGAGAAAUGGGGGUUAAACACGGGCUAAAGAGUGAAAUCUCAGAAAAGCAGUACCAAUGCUAUUUAGGCUUGUGCUACACUUUGAGGCUAGCCAUCCAUUAGCUUUCCCAAUAGCAAGAGAACAGAGAGUCUGCACACCCCUGGCUACUGAUAGGCUGCUGAUGAUUCCCCUUGCCAUUUUCGUUGAAUCAUUCACGGGACCUACCUCUGUUUCCAAUUUUUCCUUAGCUUCUUUGAUAAAUUGAUGGAGUUCUUUAAAUCUGGAAGUCCCUUCCAAGAGUCUGUAACUCAGGAAUAACCUAUAACAUAGGAUAUCUACUCGACGAGCAUCCUUAGCUACAGUCAACUGCUGCUUCCAGUAUCUGCAAAAUCAAUAUCCAAUGUCAUAGAGCCUCUAAACCUGAUACAAUGAAGUAAAAUUACUUCUAGGUGGAUCACUUCUUUUCUAUGAUAUAUCUUAGCUUAAAUCUGAAAUUAAGUCACACUACGAAACAAUAUGGCCGUCACUUUGAAACAUAAUGGCAAGGUCAUCUGCCACGCUAAGUAGCAUUGAACAAAGAUGCACAUAAUAUUGUUAUUGCAAGUAUACAACUGCUGCCAGUUUGUGGUUUUUUUAUUUUUUGUACAAAAACGGUUAUAGAAUAUGUGGAAAGAUAUCCACCAAAACUGAGCUGGGAAUGGGGGUAUACCGGAUAAAAAACACUCUUACAUAUAAGUGAAAAAUGUCUAAUUUGUCAAUCACACUUGAGAUAGCAUAGGAGGAAUUAGGGUUAAA
rnacentral:lncRNA from 1 species